UACGGAGGAUGCGAGCGUUAUCCGGAUUCAUUGGGUUUAAAGGGUGCGCAGGCGGGCCUUUAAGCCGGCGGUGAAAUCGCGGGCUCAACCCCGCCGAGCCGUCGGAACUGGGGGCCUUGAGUGCGGCGGAGGCAUGCGGAAUGCGCGGUGUAGCGGUGAAAUGCAUAGAUAUCGCGCAGAACCCCGAUUGCGAAGGCAGCGUGCCGUGCCGCCACUGACGCUGAGGCACGAAAGCGCGGGGAUCGAACAGG
rnacentral:rRNA from 1 species